rnacentral:rRNA from 1 species
GACGAACGCUGGCGGCGUGCUUAAAACAUGCAAGUCGAACGGGGUCCAUCCUUCGGGAGAAGACCUAGUGGCGAACGGGUGAGUAACACGUGAGCAACCUACCCCAGAGACCGGGAUAAGCCAGGGAAACUUGGUCUAAUACCGGAUACUCUCCACCGGCUACUAACUGGUGGAGCAAAUGGUUUUUCGCUUUGGGAUGGGCUCGCGGACUAUCAGCUUGUUGGUGGGGUAAUGGCCUACCAAGGCUUCGACGGUUAGCUGGUCUGAGAGGAUGGUCAGCCACACUGGGACUGAGACACGGCCCAGACUCCUACGGGAGGCAGCAGUUAGGAAUCUUGCGCAAUGGGCGAAAGCCUGACGCAGCAACGCCGCGUGUGGGAUGAAGGCUUUCGGGUUGUAAACCACUUUCAGCAGGAACGAAAUUGACGGUACCUGCAGAAGAAGCUCCGGCCAACUACGUGCCAGCCGCCGCAGUAAUAC